rnacentral:rRNA from 1 species
GAUGAACGCUAGCUACAGGCUUAACACAUGCAAGUCGAGGGGAAACGACAUCGAAAGCUUGCUUUUGAUGGGCGUCGACCGGCGCACGGGUGAGUAACGCGUAUCCAACCUGCCCACCACUUGGGGAUAACCUUGCGAAAGUAAGACUAAUACCCGAUGAUAUCCCUAGAAGACAUCUGAAAGAGAUUAAAGAUUUAUCGGUGAUGGAUGGGGAUGCGUCUGAUUAGCUUGUUGGCGGGGUAACGGCCCACCAAGGCGACGAUCAGUAGGGGUUCUGAGAGGAAGGUCCCCCCANAUUGGAACUGAGACAGGUCCAAACUCCUACGGGAGGCAGCAGUGAGGAAUAUUGGUCAAUGGGCGCAGGCCUGAACCAGCCAAGUCGCGUGAGGGAA